CGCGGGGGGGGUGUUAGCUGGGCUGCGGCUGCGGCCUGGCUCCAGGGAGUUUCCCCCUUUCUCUCUUUUUUUUUCUUUUCUGUUUUCUUUUUCCAAGACAUUUUCCAAAUAUAAUUUUGUGCACAAACAAAUAAAAUAAAAACAGAAACAACACACAAAAACACUAUGCUCCAGCAUGAAUGAAAUAUUCAAGUUUCUAAACUUAUAAUAAAUUUUAUUUUCCACCAAAACUGCUUAUUUUCUAGAUUAAAUGCUCACAAAAAAAUACUUAAAUAAAUCAAAUUAAAUCCUAUUAUUUGAAAAUCAAAUUUGGGGUGUUACAGGCGGA
rnacentral:lncRNA from 1 species